AGGCGAGGCCGAAAGGCGUAGUCGAUGGGAAACGGGUUAAUAUUCCCGUACUUGGUGUUACUGCGAAGGGGGGACGGAGAAGGCUAUGUUGGCCGGGCGACGGUUGUCCCGGUUUAAGCGUGUAGGUGUGUGUUCCAGGUAAAUCCGGUUCACUUUAACACUGAGGCGUGACGACGAGGCACUACGGUGCUGAAGCAACAAAUGCCCUGCUUCCAGGAAAAGCCUCUAAGCAUCAGGUAACAUCAAAUCGUACCCCAAACCGACACAGGUGGUCAGGUAGAGAAUACCAAGGCGCUUGAGAGAACUCGGGUGAAGGAACUAGGCAAAAUGGUGCCGUAACUUCGGGAGAAGGCACGCUGACACGUAGGUGAAGUGAUUUACUCAUGGAGCUGAAGUCAGUCGAAGAUACCAGCUGGCUGCAACUGUUUAUUAAAAACACAGCACUGUGCAAACACGAAAGUGGACGUAUACGGUGUGACGCCUGCCCGGUGCCGGAAGGUUAAUUGAUGGGGUCAGCGCAAGCGAAGCUCCUGAUCGAAGCCCCGGUAAACGGCGGCCGUAACUAUAACGGUCCUAAGGUAGCGAAAUUCCUUGUCGGGUAAGUUCCGACCUGCACGAAUGGCGUAAUGAUGGCCAGGCUGUCUCCACCCGAGACUCAGUGAAAUUGAACUCGCUGUGAAGAUGCAGUGUACCCGCGGCAAGACGGAAAGACCCCGUGAACCUUUACUAUAGCUUGACACUGAACAUUGAGCCUUGAUGUGUAGGAUAGGUGGGAGGCUUUGAAGUGUGGACGCCAGUCUGCAUGGAGCCGACCUUGAAAUACCACCCUUUAAUGUUUGAUGUUCUAACGUGGACCCGUAAUCCGGGUUGCGGACAGUGUCUGGUGGGUAGUUUGACUGGGGCGGUCUCCUCCUAAAGAGUAACGGAGGAGCACGAAGGUUGGCUAAUCCUGGUCGGACAUCAGGAGGUUAGUGCAAUGGCAUAAGCCAGCUUGACUGCGAGCGUGACGGCGCGAGCAGGUGCGAAAGCAGGUCAUAGUGAUCCGGUGGUUCUGAAUGGAAGGGCCAUCGCUCAACGGAUAAAAGGUACUCCGGGGAUAACAGGCUGAUACCGCCCAAGAGUUCAUAUCGACGGCGGUGUUUGGCACCUCGAUGUCGGCUCAUCACAUCCUGGGGCUGAAGUAGGUCCCAAGGGUAUGGCUGUUCGCCAUUUAAAGUGGUACGCGAGCUGGGUUUAGAACGUCGUGAGACAGUUCGGUCCCUAUCUGCCGUGGGCGCUGGAGAACUGAGGGGGGCUGCUCCUAGUACGAGAGGACCGGAGUGGACGCAUCACUGGUGUUCGGGUUGUCAUGCCAAUGGCACUGCCCGGUAGCUAAAUGCGGAAGAGAUAAGUGCUGAAAGCAUCUAAGCACGAAACUUGCCCCGA
rnacentral:rRNA from 1 species